CUGCUCUGGUAUAGAGGCUGUCGAGAUGUCGUUGCUACACCAAACCUCUACCGAUCUGGAAGCCCCCAAGAUUUUUUCGUCUACCCCGAGAUUUAUGGACUGUAUGGAAAUGUCAACCAUUACUCCUCCCUCUACUACCUCUCAAUACUGCCAAACCGAUGAGGGAUAUCAUUCAAAUCCAGUAUAUGUUUAAUGUAUUUUUAAUUAUAUAAUUGCGUCAAUUUUAUUUAGUCCC